UUUUAAACGCUACCACACAUCUGUCACGAC
rnacentral:piRNA from 1 species